GUGGUGCAUGGUUGUCGUCAGCUCGUGUCGUGAGAUGUUGGGUUAAGUCCCGCAACGAGCGCAACCCUUAAGCUUAGUUGCCAGCAUUAAGUUGGGCACUCUAAGUUGACUGCCGGUGACAAACCGGAGGAAGGUGGGGAUGACGUCAAAUCAUCAUGCCCCUUAUGAUUUGGGCUACACACGUGCUACAAUGGACAAUACAAAGGGCAGCUAAACCGCGAGGUCAUGCAAAUCCCAUAAAGUUGUUCUCAGUUCGGAUUGUAGUCUGCAACUCGACUACAUGAAGCUGGAAUCGCUAGUAAUCGUAGAUCAGCAUGCUACGGUGAAUACGUUCCCGGGUCUUGUACACACCGCCCGUCACACCACGAGAGUCUGUAACACCCGAAGCCGGUGGAGUAACCAUUUAUGGAGCUAGCCGUCGAAGGUGGGACAAAUGAUUGGGGUGAAGUCGUAACAAGGUAGCCGUAUCGGAAGGUGCGGCUGGAUCACCUC
rnacentral:rRNA from 1 species